rnacentral:rRNA from 1 species
GACGAACGCUGGCGGCGUGCUUAACACAUGCAAGUCGAACGGAAAGGCCCCUUUUGGGGUACUCGAGUGGCGAACGGGUGAGUAACACGUGAGUAACCUGCCCUUGACUUCGGGAUAACUUCAGGAAACUGGGGCUAAUACCGGAUAGGAAUCCUUGCUUCAUGGUGGGGGUUGGAAAGCUUCGGCGGUUUUGGAUGGACUCGCGGCUUAUCAGCUUGUUGGUGGGGUAGUGGCUUACCAAGGCUUUGACGGGUAGCCGGCCUGAGAGGGCGACCGGCCACAUUGGGACUGAGAUACGGCCCAGACUCCUACGGGGGGCAGCAGUGGGGAAUAUUGCACAAUGGGCGGAAGCCUGAUGCAGCAACGCCGCGUGCGGGAUGACGGCCUUCGGGUUGUAAACCGCUUUCAGCAGGGGCGAAGCUUGUGGUGACGGUACCUGCAGAAGAAGCACCGGCUAACUACGU